AUUGAACGCUGGCGGCAGGCCUAACACAUGCAAGUCGAGCGGAGCAGCGGACGGGUGAGUAAUGCCUAGGAAUCUGCCUGGGCGUGGGGGAUACCGACCGGAACCGGGCGCUACUACCGCAUACUAUCACAUGAGCCUAGGUAGGAUUAGCUAGUUGGUGGGGUAAAGGCUUACCAAGGCGCCGAUCCGUAGCUGGUCUGAGAGGAUGAUCAGUCACACGGGAACUGAGACACGGUCCAGACUCCUACGGGAGGCAGGAGGGGGGAAUAUGGGACAAUGGGCGAAAGCUUGAUACAGACAGGCGGCGUGUGUGAAGAAGGUCGUCGGAUUGUAAAGCACUUUAAGUUGGGAGGCGUUACCAACAGAAUAAGCACCGGCUAACUUCGUGCCAGCAGCCGCGGUAAUAC
rnacentral:rRNA from 1 species